rnacentral:rRNA from 1 species
UACGUAGGGUGCAAGCGUUGCUCGGAAUCACUGGGCGUAAAGGGUGCGUAGGCGGGUCUUUAAGUCAGGGGUGAAAUCCUGGAGCUCAACUCCAGAACUGCCUUUGAUACUGAAGAUCUUGAGUCCGGGAGAGGUGAGUGGAACUGCGAGUGUAGAGGUGAAAUUCGUAGAUAUUCGCAAGAACACCAGUGGCGAAGGCGGCUCACUGGCCCGGUACUGACGCUGAGGCACGAAAGCGUGGGGAGCAAACAGG